UUCUUUUCUUCUCUUUUCUUUUUCGGUCAUGUGAUUUAUCUGAUCAUGUAUUUUUCAUUCGAAUCUAUUGCUGCUGAUUUUUCUUUUAUGAGAAAAGCCCAGAAGAGCUAAUGUUGAUCGUAGCUUUACUAAAUGCUGAGAAUGCGGAUCACAUUUCUUGUUCCUGCCCUGCGUUGCAUUUGGCAGAAAAGUGAUAAAAUUUGGUUACCUCCUGAAUAUUUGGGAUUGACAGAGUACUUUGUGGGGCAUCUGAUUAUGUUUUCAUAAUUUCAUUGGAUGAUUUCCCAGUUCAUCCAUUAGUGUGGAGAAUGUUUUGUUGCUCUGAUGACGUGGCAUUUAUUUUUAAUUAUUUUCAUUUUUUCUCUUCAAUUCAUCCAUAUAAAUCUAUCCUCUAUGUUUUGUGGAUGCUAAAUUCGUGUACAAGCCCACCCCCCCGCCCAACACCGCCCCGGCCCCCGCCCACAACACCACACACCACCCCCCCCUUUCUUUUUUGGUUUCCAAAUGACAUUACAUCCUUUUUCAUAUGCAGAUUGCCAUUUUCUCAUGUUAAUUAUGAACUUCAUUCUUAUUUUUGCCUUGUAGAUUCCCAUUUCAAAAAUUUGUGAUUGAAUGAAGCACCAAUUUGGACAUGCAUUCUAUGCAUUUUAGAAUCUGUAUAGCUGACCCCAACUAAUUUGAGAUUAAGGCUUAGUUGCUGCUGUUAUUCCAUGCCCAAACCUCCAAUCUGUCCCCUUUCCUCCCUCCCACUACCUCUACCAUUCCAUUUCCCUAUAUCCAACUAUCAAUCUCUAUCAUGAUUACGGUACUUAUCAUCAAAAUCACUCCUCCUCCUGUUCCCAUAUUCCUUCUACCAAUGCUUCCUUCAUUUUUCAGCUUCUAUCUCCCUUGAUAGACUCUCCUCCUCAUCUAGAUAGACUCUCCUUUGCCUUCUCUUUAAUCGCCUGUAAAAUAUAUUCUUGUACUCUGUGGUGAAAUCUUGAAGCAUGCCGCAAACUAUGUGUUGCUUCCCGAUCAUAUCAAACCUUCGGUGCUAAGCUGCUGGCAGACACCUUUUCACUUGUAUGCGGACCAUUACAAUGUCUAUUAGGUUUUCAAUUGUUGUUGAGAUGUUGUGUUU
rnacentral:misc_RNA from 1 species